rnacentral:lncRNA from 1 species
GCUUAUUAACUGUGUGGCAUGGUUGUGAUAAAUAAGGCCUGAAUCCAAAUGAGGUAUGUGCAGUCUUUUGUUCCUUAGAAUGGUCUACUACUUAGUAAAUAAAUCAAUGUUUUAAAUUUACAGGUAAAAAUGGAAAAGGCAGCUAAGAUGAAAGGACAAUCUCCGUUGCCAUCAACUACAAAACCUUCGUGAAGGCUGUUGGACAGCUUAAAACCAUCAUGCAAAUAUGUCUUUCUGCUCAUUUAAAUGUAAUAAUAGAGUUUAUCUUCUCUCAAAUUAUUUACUUUUUAAUUGUGUAAAUAUGUCUUUUUGGAUGUUUUGUUCAUUUAUUGAAAGGAGAAAUUGUCUUAUAUUAUUUUGAUUGAAAUAAUGAUUUACUACUUUGUAUAUACUUUUUCUCUCGGGUAGAGAAGUUAGGAUAUUCUCAUAGAAGUCAAACUCUGAAAAUACAGUAAAUAUAUUUAGUCUAUUAUAAUUUAACUUUUCUAGCCUAUUUAACAAAUUAAAGAUAUAAUCAAUGUUUUUUAACAAACGUGUCACUUUCUCAUUUAAAAUUGUAAGUUAAAAUCAUUAAUUUUUUCUUUUACAAGUUUUGGAAGGUCAAUUUAUGUUUUUAAAUUUAAAAAACUGCAUUUUAUAAUUAUGGAAUAAUUUUCUAGAGUUAUCCACUGAUUUUUUUACACUGGUAACUAACUAUCUGCUGUAUAAAGAAAGAGGAAGCAAGAGCACAAAGUACACAGAGGGCUGAUUCUGUAGAUGGCAAGAUCACUGAGGGUCCAACUGCAUGUUCUGGGGCCAGGCCAGAAAGUCACACCAGACAGGAGAGAACCAAGAAGCAGAGUCUAUGUAUGCCAUUGACACUUUGGGUUCCUGACAACUAAAAGGAGACUUGGGAAAUUGUAGUGGCACCCCCUUUCUCCACAGAAAAUCUUAACUGCGUUUUUCCAGAAAUCUUCACCAUGGCUGAUUUUAGGACUGUCAAUAAAAUAGUUCAAUGAGAUAAACUUCCUAUUUUCCUG